rnacentral:tRNA from 1 species
GGGCGCUUAGCUCAGUUGGUCCAGAGCGCCGCCCUUACAAGGCGGAGGUCAUCCGUUCAAAUCGGAUAGCGCCCACAA